CGAGGAAUAUUGGUCAAUGGGCGCAAGCCUGAACCAGCCAUCCCGCGUGCAGGAAGACGGCGCUAUGCGUUGUAAACUGCUUUUCCAGGGGGAGAAACUUGCGCACGUGUUGCGCUAUUGACGGUACCCUGGGAAUAAGCAUCGGCUAACUCCGUGCCAGCAGCCGCGGUAAUACGGAGGAUGCGAGCGUUAUCCGGAUUCAUUGGGUUUAAAGGGUGCGUAGGCGGACUAUUAAGUCAGUGGUGAAAUCCUGCAGCUUAACUGCAGAACUGCCAUUGAUACUGAUAGCCUUGAGUUUGGUUAAGGUAGGCGGAAUGUGUAAUGUAGCGGUGAAAUGCUUAGAUAUUACACAGAACACCAAUUGCGUAGGCAGCUUACUGAGCCGACACUGACGCUGAGGCACGAAAGCGUGGGGAUCGAACAG
rnacentral:rRNA from 1 species